rnacentral:rRNA from 1 species
GGGUUGUGAGGUUAAGCGACUAAGCGUACACGGUGGAUGCCCUGGCAGUCAGAGGCGAUGAAGGACGUGCUAAUCUGCGAUAAGCGUCGGUAAGGUGAUAUGAACCGUUAUAACCGGCGAUUUCCGAAUGGGGAAACCCAGUGUGAUUCGUCACACUAUCAUUAACUGAAUCCAUAGGUUAAUGAGGCGAACCGGGGGAACUGAAACAUCUAAGUACCCCGAGGAAAAGAAAUCAACCGAGAUUCCCCCAGUAGCGGCGAGCGAACGGGGAGCAGCCCAGAGCCUGAAUCAGUGUGUGUGUUAGUGGAAGCGUCUGGAAAGGCGUGCGAUACAGGGUGACAGCCCCGUACACAAAAAUGCACAUACUGUGAGCUCGAUGAGUAGGGCGGGACACGUGGUAUCCUGUCUGAAUAUGGGGGGACCAUCCUCCAAGGCUAAAUACUCCUGACUGACCGAUAGUGAACCAGUACCGUGAGGGAAAGGCGAAAAGAACCCCGGCGAGGGGAGUGAAAAAGAACCUGAAACCGUGUACGUACAAGCAGUGGGAGCACGCUUAGGCGUGUGACUGCGUACCUUUUGUAUAAUGGGUCAGCGACUUAUAUUCUGUAGCAAGGUUAACCGAAUAGGGGAGCCGAAGGGAAACCGAGUCUUAACUGGGCGUUAAGUUGCAGGGUAUAGACCCGAAACCCGGUGAUCUAGCCAUGGGCAGGUUGAAGGUUGGGUAACACUAACUGGAGGACCGAACCGACUAAUGUUGAAAAAUUAGCGGAUGACUUGUGGCUGGGGGUGAAAGGCCAAUCAAACCGGGAGAUAGCUGGUUCUCCCCGAAAGCUAUUUAGGUAGCGCCUCGUGAAUUCAUCUCCGGGGGUAGAGCACUGUUUCGGCAAGGGGGUCAUCCCGACUUACCAACCCGAUGCAAACUGCGAAUACCGGAGAAUGUUAUCACGGGAGACACACGGCGGGUGCUAACGUCCGUCGUGAAGAGGGAAACAACCCAGACCGCCAGCUAAGGUCCCAAAGUCAUGGUUAAGUGGGAAACGAUGUGGGAAGGCCCAGACAGCCAGGAUGUUGGCUUAGAAGCAGCCAUCAUUUAAAGAAAGCGUAAUAGCUCACUGGUCGAGUCGGCCUGCGCGGAAGAUGUAACGGGGCUAAACCAUGCACCGAAGCUGCGGCAGCGACGCUUAUGCGUUGUUGGGUAGGGGAGCGUUCUGUAAGCCUGCGAAGGUGUGCUGUGAGGCAUGCUGGAGGUAUCAGAAGUGCGAAUGCUGACAUAAGUAACGAUAAAGCGGGUGAAAAGCCCGCUCGCCGGAAGACCAAGGGUUCCUGUCCAACGUUAAUCGGGGCAGGGUGAGUCGACCCCUAAGGCGAGGCCGAAAGGCGUAGUCGAUGGGAAACAGGUUAAUAUUCCUGUACUUGGUGUUACUGCGAAGGGGGGACGGAGAAGGCUAUGUUGGCCGGGCGACGGUUGUCCCGGUUUAAGCGUGUAGGCUGGUUUUCCAGGCAAAUCCGGAAAAUCAAGGCUGAGGCGUGAUGACGAGGCACUACGGUGCUGAAGCAACAAAUGCCCUGCUUCCAGGAAAAGCCUCUAAGCAUCAGGUAACAUCAAAUCGUACCCCAAACCGACACAGGUGGUCAGGUAGAGAAUACCAAGGCGCUUGAGAGAACUCGGGUGAAGGAACUAGGCAAAAUGGUGCCGUAACUUCGGGAGAAGGCACGCUGAUAUGUAGGUGAAGUCCCUCGCGGAUGGAGCUGAAAUCAGUCGAAGAUACCAGCUGGCUGCAACUGUUUAUUAAAAACACAGCACUGUGCAAACACGAAAGUGGACGUAUACGGUGUGACGCCUGCCCGGUGCCGGAAGGUUAAUUGAUGGGGUUAGCGCAAGCGAAGCUCUUGAUCGAAGCCCCGGUAAACGGCGGCCGUAACUAUAACGGUCCUAAGGUAGCGAAAUUCCUUGUCGGGUAAGUUCCGACCUGCACGAAUGGCGUAAUGAUGGCCAGGCUGUCUCCACCCGAGACUCAGUGAAAUUGAACUCGCUGUGAAGAUGCAGUGUACCCGCGGCAAGACGGAAAGACCCCGUGAACCUUUACUAUAGCUUGACACUGAACAUUGAGCCUUGAUGUGUAGGAUAGGUGGGAGGCUUUGAAGUGUGGACGCCAGUCUGCAUGGAGCCGACCUUGAAAUACCACCCUUUAAUGUUUGAUGUUCUAACGUUGACCCGUGAUCCGGGUUGCGGACAGUGUCUGGUGGGUAGUUUGACUGGGGCGGUCUCCUCCUAAAGAGUAACGGAGGAGCACGAAGGUUGGCUAAUCCUGGUCGGACAUCAGGAGGUUAGUGCAAUGGCAUAAGCCAGCUUGACUGCGAGCGUGACGGCGCGAGCAGGUGCGAAAGCAGGUCAUAGUGAUCCGGUGGUUCUGAAUGGAAGGGCCAUCGCUCAACGGAUAAAAGGUACUCCGGGGAUAACAGGCUGAUACCGCCCAAGAGUUCAUAUCGACGGCGGUGUUUGGCACCUCGAUGUCGGCUCAUCACAUCCUGGGGCUGAAGUAGGUCCCAAGGGUAUGGCUGUUCGCCAUUUAAAGUGGUACGCGAGCUGGGUUUAGAACGUCGUGAGACAGUUCGGUCCCUAUCUGCCGUGGGCGCUGGAGAACUGAGGGGGGCUGCUCCUAGUACGAGAGGACCGGAGUGGACGCAUCACUGGUGUUCGGGUUGUCAUGCCAAUGGCACUGCCCGGUAGCUAAAUGCGGAAGAGAUAAGUGCUGAAAGCAUCUAAGCACGAAACUUGCCCCGAGAUGAGUUCUCCCUGACUCCUUGAGAGUCCUGAAGGAACGUUGAAGACGACGACGUUGAUAGGCCGGGUGUGUAAGCGCAGCGAUGCGUUGAGCUAACCGGUACUAAUGAACCGUGAGGCUUAACCUUACAACGCCGAAGCUGUU